UCUAAUUUGAUUUCUCAUUUUACUUGUCUCUUUUCAUUAAUCAAGAUAAGAUAAUUUUUUUCUCCAUUAUAUCCUUUGUAAUUUAUUACUCCUUGUUACUAGUAUUAAAUUAUCAAAACUGAAAUUUUUUGCAGAAACUUUGAUAAUCCUAUAAUUCUAAUUAUCCAUGCAAAAUAUGCUUUGGCAUCAGUUAUAUAAUAACUCCAUCAAUAUUGGAACUAACAACAUGACAUAAUUAAUAGUGGCAAAAUGAUAAAGUUACAUUACCAAUCAUUGUUUUCUUAAUAGCUGUGACAUCUCAAUUUGGGAUGAGUAAUUUAGAACGGAGAAAAUAUUUUUUUAAGGAAAGUUCAAAUCAAUAAAGAUCAAUUAUUUUGAAGCAGAGGAAGUAUAAUUUCUAAAAAUCGUGCAAAAUUAAAAAUGAUCAAAUAAUACUGAACAUAGGGAAGCUCCUUAACGCUACUACUUUGCAUUGAUAUAAAUAAGCCAUUUAAUUAUCACAUUCUAUUUCUAUCUUCAAAACAAAGUGUGUAGUCAUUUAUCAUCAAUAUGGCCAAAAUAUCACUUUUAUUGAUUGCUCUUUUUGCCCUAACUACAGCGAUGGAACAAAACUUAUUUCCAUCAAAGUGGCUUGGGUUAACUUGCUUUAGAAAAUGCCAGUGGGCUAACGAUUGCACUAGAGACUGUUGCGAAUGUUGGUCCUCUCCAUUCGAUAGCCAAAACUACUUUUGUGACAAACGUGGCGCUAAUGGUGAAAGUUAUGUUGCAAGUCUCCUCUUGAAAGCUAAACUCAUCAAACAACAAGACAUUAUUCCUUCUCAUCAACUUGUUUAAAUUGUGUGUCUUUGUGUGUGUGUGUUUGAUGAAUUAAUGUCAUAGUUUUUGUGUUUGUGUGUCUGUUGGGGAGGUAAUAAGUGAACAAUAGUUCCAAUGGAAGACUUGGAUUGUUGAUUACAACUAUGAGAGGCUAGCAGUUUGGCUUGUGACUGCCUAUUUAGUUGGACGUUUAGAAUCAUAAAAUUAUGGACUUGUCACUUAUUCAAAUUUAUCAAACCUUUAAUUGGCAUUGGCAUGUCUUUAAAGUUGACAAAAACAGUAUCCUGUCAAAUAUGAUAGGCUUGAUUAUUUCGAUACAUACUCUUUAGUGAAAAAAGAUAAUGUAUAUUCGGGUGUUAGUUGCAUUAGUUGUUGUAUAUUGUCUUGAAAUCAAUUAAAUAGAUGUUAUAACAGUUAUUUUUUUAAAUGGAGAAUUGGAGAAAGAAAUUUACAUGGAAUAACCCGAGGAUUUUGUGGUUCUUAGUAAAGAAAAAAAGUGUGCAAACUUGUUAAGUUACGAUAUGGACUAACAUAAGAACUAAGAACCCAGACAGACAGUGGCAAGAACUGAUAGGAACACACAUUUCACAUAUAGAUAAGCAGUCACAAGCUAGCCAAACUGCCAGCUUUUACAAAUUACACUCUCCAUUAAUCAAAGUUUUCCAUAGACCAAAAACCUGAUCAUCACUUAUUCCAUCAAACAUAAAACAUUCACGUAAGCAUAGACAAACAUUAUUUAAUGUUCUUAAGACGUUGAUUUUCAAGGACAGUUCCGAAAUAACCUUCACUAGUAAAAAGACCUUUGUCACAUAUAUCCAUAUAUGAAAGAGCAAAGGGAUUGUAGCCAUUACUUGUAUCUUGGGAGACCAAGAGAAAUCAACUGCAUUUUAUACACAUAAUUAUAUAAGUAGUUAAAUCAAAGAAUAGUUAGACCAUCGUCUACAUCAAUAUGUUAUUAAUAGGACUAUUGAUGUGACUUUCAAACUAAAUUAAUCGCAUAUUGCAUGACAUUUUGCAAGAAGAAUUCAGAAAAAAGAUUAAUAUGGCUUUCAAAGGAAAUAAUAUUGAGGUUGAUUGUCAUUUUCCGUAAGAAAAAUGGUCACAUUAUUCAACACGGAGUUUUAAAUAUAGAUUUACUUGAAUAAAAUACUAGAAAUUGAAACGGAAGUAUAAUCGUUGGAAACUUGAGAACUUUUAUCAUUGUAGUAUUUGUCAUUUGAAUGGAGUACAGUUCAAAUGAAAGUCAAUUUCUAUAAUUGUACGUAAUAGCAGUAGAAUGAGAUCUCAAGCAAGAAGCAUAUGGAGGAUUCGACUAGUAUCGUUACAGAGAAUUACUGCGUGUUUAUUUUACAUUAUAAAUGAUUUAUUUAUUAAAAUCUAGAUGAUUUUAUGUAGUUGAAUUCUUUUUAAAAUUCAUUAAGAUGAAACCAUUCAGCACGUAGAUUUUUCUUAAAAAGAAUCAUUGCAGUAGCAUAAUAAUGACUGAAGAUUCGGAGAGCAUUAUAGCAAAUUUGAUUUUUAAUGUUUAGCCAACAAUUAGAUUGAAUGCGACAAGACACGAAAUGCAUGAACUGAUAUUAGCAAUAAUAAACAUAAUGAAAUGACGUUUCCAUGGUAACUGCUCCCACUAGGAUUUGCUAUUUCUGGGCCCUCUCUUUAUCUUUUUUCCAAAUUUCAUAUGGCACAAAGCAGACAAUAACAUACCUUAUUAUUAUCAAUAGAUUGGUAAAUAAGGCGAGCCUCUUCGAGACUUUCAGGCCUAGGGUUUCAUCAAUAGAUUGAAGAAACUGUGAUUGAUUGGAAGCUUCUCGAACAGCAGAAGUUGCGACAAAGCGAGAAUGGGAGGAAGGAACGCGACGGCUUCUGCAAGUUUCGAAGUGCUGUGGUGGCGCGUAGUAGGGAGGCGGUGGAGAUAGUAGUAUCAAGGCCGAGGAGGACUCUUUCCUUGAACCGAUCGACAGCGAGGAAACGACCGGUGGGGGUUGUAGGGGUCACUUGGCUCCCCUAAAAUCGAGUGUUGAGUAUCAAUAUUAAUAGUUGUUACAAAAAUAUGAGCAACGAUCCUUAGCUUGUCUGCUUCAAGUAGGUCUCGAGCAUAUGAAGGUGGAAUCGUCAAAAUUUGCACAUGAUAAAAAACUGUUACCCCUCCCUGAGAUCUGGCUAGUGCAUCAGCUACUUUGUUCUGCUGUUUGUAAGUGUGGUUCAGUGUUGGGUUGUUCAGUCCCUGCAUUAAGUACCUGCAUUCCAAAAUAACAUUGCAGUAGCCAAGAUGGUUAAUACAUAACAUUUAAAUUGAAGUUAUAGAAUCAGAGUUGGUUUCCAAAGGGAUUAAGUUAUUGGAGUGGGCUAUCUUGAGUUCUUCCAGGAUUGCUAGGAAUUUAUCUUGCUAAACAUCCACAUGUUGGAGGUCUCUUGUGAAGCCCAGAAUCCAAUUACCUUUAUAGUCUCUGAACACACCCCCAACUCUACCUCGUCCAGGCUGGAUCCUAACACUCGCAUCCGUGUUGAGUUUGUAGGAACCCUGGUUAGGAGGUUCCCAUUUAAGGUAGAUGAUGGUGUUAGGUUUUACAGGUCUACUAUGGUUCACAAUAGUAAGGGCAUAUUCGUUGGCCUGGGCUAUAGUUUGUUCAAUAAAGAUAUUAUCAUCUCUUUUGUUGAACAGGUUAUGAUUUCUGUUGAGCCAAAUAUUCCACAUACAAAAAGGUAGGAUGGUAUUCGAAAAGUACCAGUUAUUGAAAGGUUUUGUCGCCAUAGCUUUCCAAGUGUCAGCCCAGUUGUGGCUGUUGAGGGAUGAGGAGUCAAAGUAGGCGAUAGAGAUACUAUUAGCAGCAAUUCCCUCCCAGAAGGCUUGGGCUUUAUGGCACUGAAAAAAGAUUUGAGAGAUAUCCUCUACAAGAUUGGUGCAGUGAUGCCAAUUUGAAGACACAUCCAUACCCAAGUGGUUGAAGUAACUCUCAGUUGGAAGUCUGUUAUAGUUCAGGAGCCAGAGGAAGGUUUUGAACCUGCUAGGGGGUUUGAGAUUCCAGAUCCAAUGGUGAUCUUUUUUGGGCUCAGUUGGUAUGCUCACGUAGUUGUUCAGGAUAGAGUUGCAGGCACUUUUCAUGGUGAAAUUACCAUUUGGGGAGCAGUCCCAGGUGAGUUUAUCCUCAUACACACUCUCAGUUGGGAAAAAAGUGUUGGUGAUUAUGUUGUGCAAAUCAUGAGGAAGAUUAAAGGAAAUGGCAUCAAGGUUUCAGGCGCCCUGCCUGUAAAUGAGGUUGAUUGUGAGCUUAUCCUCACCCUUGUUCAAAGGUCCAGCAAUACAGCUUCUGAUGGUUUGGUAGUUGGGAAUCCAUUUGUCUAAGAAUAAUUUGAUUCUAUUCCAUCAAUGGACAAUCCAUCUUUGGUUAGGCA